UACGUAGGGUGCGAGCGUUGUCCGGAAUUAUUGGGCGUAAAGAGCUCGUAGGCGGUGUGUCGCGUCGGCCGUGAAAACCUGCAGCUUAACUGUGGCUUGCGGUCGAUACGGCAUCACUGGAGUUCGGCAGGGGAGACUGGAAUUCCUGGUGGUAGCGGUGAAAUGCGCAGAUAUCAGGAGGAACACCGGUGGCGAAGGCGGGUCUCUGGGCCGAUACUGACGCUGAGGAGCGAAAGCGUGGGAGCAAACAGG
rnacentral:rRNA from 1 species